GAUGAACGCUGGCGGCGUGCCUAAUACAUGCAAGUCGAGCGAACAGAUGCUGCGCUUGCUCCUUUCACGUUAGCGGCGGACGGGUGUGUAACACGUGUAUCACCUCCCUAUCUGUCUGGGAUCUCCUCGGGAAACCGGAGCUAAUACCGGAUAAUAUCUUGAACCGCAUGGUUCAUUAGUGAAUGACGGUUUUGCUGUCUCUUAUAGAUGCUUCCGGGCUGCAUGAGCUAGUUGGUAAGGUAACGGCUUAUCAAGGCAACGAUGCGUAGCCGACCUGAGAGGGUGAUCGGCGACACUAGAAGUGAGACACGGACCAGACGCCUACGGUAGGCAGCAGUAGGGAAUGGGCGGCAAUGGUGGGAAGCCUGACAGAGCGACGCGACGUGAGUGAUGAAAGUGUUCGGAUCGUAAAACUCUGUUAUUAGGGGAGAACAAAUGUGUAAGUAACUAUGGACGGAUUGACGGUAACGAAUCAGAAAGCCACGGCUAACUACGUG
rnacentral:rRNA from 1 species